rnacentral:rRNA from 1 species
AUGCCCCUUGCCCACCGACACCACCUACCUCUGCCUCCGCGACCUCGCCCGGCCGCUCAGCCAACGGAGCUCGACGAAGAGCACCCCGGUAACUUGGAUGAAAAGGUCUCGGAGAGGGUUUUGUAUGAGAUUCUUAUUCAGGUAGGUCGUGUAGUAGACUUGCACAUACCCCGUGACAAGGAAACUAGUCGACCCAAACGUUUUGCUUUUGCUGAGUAUGAAAUAGAGGAGAUUGCCCAGUAUGCUGUUAGGCUGUUUUCUGGCCUUGUUCGGCUUCACAAUAGAACACUUAAAUUUGCGGCGCGUUUCUUUUUUCUCCCUGGUUAUCUAAUUUGUUGUAGUAUAGAUUGCAGUGUGUUGUUCUUAUGGUAUAGUGAGUUACAUUCUCUGAAUAGUUGA